rnacentral:lncRNA from 1 species
UUCCUUUUCAGAUAAUAUUUAAAGUUCAUGCCGCAUUUAUUCUUGGUGUUUUACCACAGUCAAGUGUUGAGUGUUAGAAAAUGCAUAUUUAUAAAGGAGAAAACCGUCAUUUUACAUUUCAAGUCUUACUAACAACCCUUACUUUUAUGUAUUUAACCUUCUUGUGAUUUAAUUACAUGUGUUUUAUUUUAAUUAAGUAUUUUAUGUAUUUUAGGGGCAUUAUAGUCAUUUCACAAUAAAGGAGAAAUCAGACGGCAAAACGGACAUCACUUUUGAACUCAGGACGAUCAAAAACCUUAGGAGGAGCAUAAAAGGAAAAAUGACACUAUUCACAUGUACGGUACUAUUCACGUGUACGGUACUGUAUACGUUACUGUUCACGACACUGUUCACAUAGACGGAUGAUGACGUGGCAUUGACCGAUGAUGUGGCAUUGACUGAUGAGGUGUCACGAUCCUGUUGGACUAAAAUUCUUAUGUACUGUUGAUAGUGACGUGGCAGCAUAUCAGUGGACGAAAAAUCUCGCGUACGGUGCAUGCAUCACACAUGAUUAUUUUCAACCAAACCGCGUUACUGUUCAUCCGGGUCAAACCGCGUUACUGUUCAAAGUCGGGUCAAACCGUGUUACUGUUCAUCCGCGUGGUCAAACCGUGGACUGUUGACUGAUGACGUGGCGCAAUCCUGAGCGUCCAAACUGUUUUUAAUCCGAUGGCCAUGAUUUACUCCAUGUAUCUAUAAAAAAGGGGCCUCUCCCCCCUAAUUUGAUAUCUCUGAAUCCAUUUUUGGGAUCCAUUUUCUGUAAUUCCUUCUCCAUCUUGUAUUUUCUUCGUAUUUUAAUAAAUUCCCAUUUUGCCCCUAGUUCAAUUAUGAGUGGCUAAUUUUCUUUCAAGCUUGGGUUGAAGGUGAAGUCUCAACAUGUGUCAUGGGCUUAAUUUGGUAAAUCUAUUUUCUCUUCCUCUCUAGUUUUUGUGGAUGUUUUGACUUCUCGUCGACAAAUAAUACUAAUCUUGUCUAGUACCGCCUUGGUUACACCGGCUCUCUAGUAUAAGGUUAUUAUUAUUUGGCACGGUAAGCCCUUAGCACCAUAUUAAUUAGAGCGUGGUUCAUGAGGUGUGGAUUCCCCCCUCGUGAUUUAAUUGGCAUUAAUAAGGAUUAUUUAGCCCAUGAUGCAUGUUGAUACGGAUCCAGAUACCCAAGUACGUCAUUUCAAUAGAUUUCGCUUCAAUUUAUUCUCGCCAUUGCAAUUCCAAUUUUAGAAUCUCAAUUCCAAUUUUAGGAUAAUUUAAAUCACUUCCACCACAAUUUCAACCACCCAUUUACAAAAUUAAUUCUACAUAUAAUUAAAAUCCACCUCCUCGUGGGAUUGACACUCGUCACCAUUGAUCUAUACUACAAUAGAUUCGUGCGCUUGCGAGUACAUUAAAAUUUACACAACAUCAAGAAGCUUAUAUCCUGGGUUAUGUAAAUCCUCACAGUCCAGUCCCGAGUCUGGUCUUAAGAUCGUAUUAUGUUGAGUGUUAGAAAGUAUAUAUUUAUAAAGGAGAAAAUUGUCAUUUUACAUUUCAAGUUUCACUAACUUUCCUAUUUUUAUGUAUUUAAGUUUCUUGUGAUUUAAUUAUAUAUGUUGUAUUAUAAUUAAGUAUUUUAUGGGCAUCAUGGUCAUUUCACAAUAAAUGAGAGAUUAGACUACAAAAUGGACAUCACUUUUGAACUCAAGACAAUUGAAAACCUUAGGAGGAGCAUAAAAGGAAAAAUAACAUUGUUCACAUGUAUGGUACUGUCUAUGUUACUGUUCAUGACACUGUUCACAUUUACGGAAUGAUGAUGUGGCAUUGACUGAUGAGGUGUCACGAUUCUAUGAGACUAAAAUUCUUAUAUACUGUUAAUUGAUGACGUGGCAGCAUGCUAGUGCACUAAAAAUCAUGCGUACUGUACAUGCAUAUAUACGGGAUAACUUACAACCAAACCGCGUCAUUGUUCAAACUGCGUUGAUUAGUAUUAAAAAUUGUAUGUUUAUUAAGAGAUUAAAAUGUUAUUUUGUUUUAUUAAUGUAAUUUAUAUUUGUAAUUAUGUAACAUAUUGUGAAUUUCUAAUUAUUUUUUAAAUAUUUGAUUUUGUGUAUUUUUGUGUGUUUAUUAGGUAAAAAUAAUAAUUUCAUACAAUUUGAGGCUCCGAACAAAUACAUGGAUGUCAAAUUUGGAUUCUGGAAGUCCGAGAAAUUAUGUCAUUGUCGAGGAGGAUCCAAGACUUUUGUUGUAUUUUUUUUACGUUUUUACCACGGUAAAUGUGGUAAUUAUAAAAUUAUAAGUUUUUAUCAUAUUAGGUAUGGUAAUUGUUAGUGGAAUGUGUUGGAUAUGCUUGAGUGGAUAAGUUAGCUUUAUAUUUUAUUAGUGGGAUUAUUAGUGGGACAAAUGUAAGGUUAAGAUGUAAUUAGAUUUUUUUAAAGACACAUAUGAAUUUUGCAAACCUUGUGAAAACUGUCAAAAAUUAGGAUCAAUUACUAAAAGAAACAUGAUGCCCUUAAACCCCAUACUUGAAAUUGAAAUAUUUGACUGUUGGGGAAUUGAUUUCAUGGGUCCAUUUCCACCAUCUUUUGGAUUUGUGUACAUAUUAGUGGCAGUUGAUUAUGUCUCAAAAUGGAUUGAAGCAAUGUCUUGUCGAAAUAAUGAUAGUAAAACUGUCGUUAAAUUUUUAAGAGAAAACAUUCUAAGUCGAUUUGGAAUCGCUCGAGCCAUUAUUAGUGAUGGAGGUAGGCAUUUUUGUAAUAAGUCAGUUGAGUCUUUAAUGAAAAAAUAUGGAAUUACACAUAAAGUUGCUACCCUUACCAUCAAACAAAUGGUCAAGUUGAACUAGCAAAUAGGGAGAUAAAACAAAUUUUAGAAAAAAACAGUCAACCCAAACCGCAAAGAUUGGUCUUUUCGAUUGACUGAUGCACUUUGGGCAUACCGUACUACAUUUAAAACAUCUUUAGGAAUGUCACCCUAUCGGCUAGUUUAUGGUAAACCUUGUCACUUACCUGUUGAACUUGAACAUAAAUCAUUUUGGGCUAUUAAAGCUUUUAAUUCAAAUUUGGAUGAUGUUGGUAAUGUGCGGAAAUUACAAUUGAAUGAGCUUGAGGAAUUAGGAAAUGAUGCAUAUGAAAAUUCAAGAAUUAUUAAGGCAAGAACAAAAAUUUUUCAUGAUAAAAGAAUUUUUCGAAAAACAUUUGAAAUUGGUCAAAAAGUGUUGCUUUAUAAUUCUCGUCUUCAUUUGUUUCCAGGAAAGUUAAAGUCAAAGUGGAGUGGCCCAUUUAUUGUAAAAAAUGUAUAUCCACAUGGGGCUGUAGAAAUUGAGAAUCCAAAAAACAGUGUCACAUUUAAAGUUAAUGGUCAAAGAAUAAAGCCCUAUCUGGAAUACCAACCACAUGAACCAAGCACCGAAAUAAAUUUGAGUGACCCACAAAAUCUUGAUUAAGUUUUUAAUGAGUAUUUUAACUUUUCACUGUUGUUUUACCGUUUGAAUUGUUUGACUGUCUUGAAUGAUAUGCGUUGUGAUGUUUCUUACUUAAGUGUGUUUAAUAAUUGUGUUUUCUUCAUCUUCAUACAUCAUGAGUACCUCAAUUAGGAAUAUUCUGUUUACACAUCUUAAAAGAGUUUUACGAAUAAAAUUUCACUUGAGAAGAUUGAUACAAAGCUGUAAAUCACAUCCAAUUUGGGAACGACAACCACCAGAAUUAAUGGCCUACGUUGAGGAUUAAGAAAGACAACUUAGAGCAAUAGAGCGUGGCAUAUAUGAAUUUCAAUUGGAGCUUGAGGUUAACUCAAUGAGAGGACGAAUGUAAGUUCAUUUUCCUUUGUACAUAUUAUGUUUCUUUUUUUGUUGUUCACUUUCACGUUUGAUUUGAUUUUGCAGAUUUGAUUUUGGUGUGUUUUGAUUUAUUUUGCCGUAUAAAUGGCGGAUAACGGUACACCGUGACUUCUUAAGUCGGUAUUCUCAGUUUCCCACAAUAACUGAAAUCUAAAAAUCAAGCAUGGAAGAAAUACAACAUAAAUUGUAUAAGCGUUUUCCUUCUCUCCCUCAGAAUGCCCUCAGGAAAAUUUACAAAGCUCGUUGUGAACGACUACGUUUGUUAAUGAUCAAUGGCAUUCCUUCUGACAUUCAUUAGUUAAUUGAAGCAAAAGUCCGAUUAGCUGGUGAGUUUUCUGAUCCAUUUGCUUCUUACAUGCCUGGUUUUGGUAAAAGUACUUUUGCUAAGAAAAAGAGAACUAAACGACUUGGCUCAAAAUGUCAUAAUUGUGUACAAUUUAGUUGCAGACUAUAAGUUUGUAAAUCUUUAGGAAUGGUUUCUGAUAGUCGAGAGGAUAAAAUUAAAUUCGUCAAAGAUGGCAUGAGUAAGGAAUCGUUGGAUGAUAUCUUACGAUCUCUUGAGACACAUCAAAGCGGACAUGUGCAAUAUGAGAUACACAGGUUAUGGAGACUAUUCCAAAACAAAAGUGCACAAUUUAGUCUUGGGAAUCUGACUCAAAAAGACCCUGUUUGCCAGUUUAUAAGAAAACUGGGUGGGAAGCCUAUCCUCGACCCAUAGAGGGCGUUCAAGCCGUUACUGGACGUAAAACCAGAGGAAGAUGUGAGACACAAUCACAACUACCAGUAAAUAUCCUUUUACUUUACUACUCUUUUAUCAUUUGCAUUAUUGCAUUUAAUGGUGUGAUUAUGUAUUUAAUCAUGAUUUGUUUUCUUUUACUUUUUCUUUUCACUGUUUGUUUUUCUUUUUACUGUUUGCUUUUGAAUAAUUGAGACAUGAGCUUUACGCGUCAUCUGAAAAAUAAACCAACCCAUUUACGGUUGUUUCUCAUUUUGUCUGUCACUCAGAUCUUUAAAUAAGAGCUCUUUUUCCAAACCACUCACAUCUUGUUUUUGAAGGUUAUUCUAAUGGCAGCAUCUUUGAGUAGACAAUUCAAAAACAUUUGUGUGCUCUCUGGAUUUCAUUAUGGAAAAUACAAAGAGUUCAUUCAAGCAGUUGUAGAUCUUGGUCGUGCCAUAACUGAGAGGAAACUGCACCUUGUAUAUGGAGGAGGUGACCGUGGGUUAUCAAAACUUGUCUCAGAAGCUGUUUUUAUUAGAGGAAACCAGGUACUAGGUAUCAUUCCACAAGCCUUAAAACCUUUGGGAUGCAGGUUUGAUGUACCAAUUGGAAAAGAGUUAGUUGUCUCAAGUAUGCAAGAAUGAAUAACUGAGAUGUUAAAUCAUGCUGACACUUUCAUUUUCUUGCCAGGAGAUCUUGCAACUUUAGAGGCAUUGAUUACAUUUGCAUCUUAGGCCCAUUUAAACAUCCAUAAAAAACCCAUCGAUUUACUAAAUGUUAAUAAUAUUUUUGAUGGGUUGCUCACAUUCAUUAACCAUGCAAUUAAGAAUCAUUUUAUUUCAAUCUCUGUGAAAACUCUUUUUGUUUGUGCUUCUACUGCUAAUGAGUUACUUGGUCUCUUACAAGCUUACAAACUAGAGCCAGAUCCUAAGACCUUGGCCUUGGAAUGGUUGACUAAUGAUGGUAACCCUAGCCCUAGUAAGAAGUAAAAAUUAGAUUUAAUUGUUCAGUUGUAACAAUCUUCUUGGAGCUAUGAGGUUGUGUCUUCUAAACUCUACUUUUUUUUUCCUUUAAGCCAUUGAGGACAAUGUCUUGUUCAGGUUGGGGGGAGGGAAUAGUUGACAGCUGUGGAAUAUAGCAAAUCCUAGUAAUGCUUUUGUCGAAGAUGGCAGAAUAUGGGGUGUAGGGACUCUAGAAACUCAUCUUCAGCGGGUUGUUCGGGUGUGAUCUUUCCUAUUUCUUCUUUUAUUAUUUAUGUUUUCUUUAUCUUUUUCAUCUUUAUGCAUGUAUAUAAUGUUUAAAUUAGGUUGGGGGGAAGGAAUAAUUGACGUAAAUUGUAAAUAGGUGUGUUUAUUUUUUUUAAAAAAAAACCCAAAAAAAAAACCAAAAACAAUCAAUAAUUUUUUUUGUGUCUAGGAUGGCUGUGUAAAGAGUCACAACUUUUGAGACGCAUCCUAAUAGUCUUGUUGUAUUAUAUUUUGAUUUUAAAAUUCAUAAUAAGUUGUUUUUGUUCCCUUUUCUUUGAAUUACUCAAAUUUGUGAACUCUCCUUCAUUUGGUUAUAAAGUUAUUUCGUUGUUUACUCAUUUAACAGGUAUUAUUAAAUCAUUCUUCACACACACACUAUGACACAUACUAGUGGGUUGUAAGUUAAAAUUUUUGCAGCAUUUAGUUCUUUUGAUUUAUUAGGAAUAAUAUCUAAGGUGGUAGAAAGUGUAUAUUGCAACAACAAAAAAUUCAAAAAAAAGAAAAAAAUUGAAUGAAUUUAAUUUUGUUAUAUCUAGAACCCGAGUAAUUAAGUCUGUAAGGGUGUUUCAACACCUAAUGCCCUAAGGUCAACUGGUCUGGGAGUCACUGGCCUAAAGCUCGCUACAUGGGUUAUAGAUAUAUUGUUUGGUUAUUUAUUAAAAACCCGAGUAAUUAAGUCUGUAGGGGUGUUUCAACACCUAGUGCCCUAAGGUCAACUGGUCUGGGAGUCGCUGACCUAAAACUUGCUACAUGGGUUAAAAAAAAGAAAAAAAAACUUGAAUAAUCUGCUGCCUGAAGAUAGAAUUUUUAAUGAGUUUUAGAAUGAAAAUGUUGUUUUCUUUUAAUAAAACACCAUAAGUAUUGUGUUAAUUACUUGAACACAGAAAAAGGUUUAUGAUAUUCUGGAUAAUGAGUGGAUGACCAAGAGUUAAAAAAAAAAAAAAAUUUUGGAGAGUUUAUUUAUUUGGUAGUUUAGAGGAUAGAUGAACAACUAUUAACUUGCAUGUGAAUUUUGUAAAUCUUAAGUUAAUAUAAUGCUUUAAUUGCUAGGAGCUAGCAAUAAGCUAGUUGGGGGGUGUGAUUAGUGUUAAAAAUUGUAUGUUUAUUAAGAGAUAAAAAUGUUAUUUUGUUUUAUUAAUGUAAUUUAUAUUUGAAAUUGUGUAACAUAUUGUGAAUUUCCAAUUAUUUUUCUAAAUAUUUGAUUUUGUGUAUUUUUGUGUGUUUUUUAGGUAAAAAUAAUAAUUUCAUGCAAUUUGAGGCUCCGAACAAAUACAUGGAUGUCAAAUUUGGAUUCCAGAAGUCCGAGAAAUUAUGUCAUUGUCGAGGAGGAUCCAAGACUUUUGUUGUAUUUGUUUUACGUUUUUACCACGGUAAAUGUGGUAAUUGUAAAAUUAUAAGUUUUUAUCAUAUUAGGUAUGAUAAUUGUUAGUGGAAUGUGUUGGAUAUGCUUGAGUGGAUAAGUUAGGUUUAUGUUUUAUUUGUGUGGUGUGCAUUUACCAUGUAUUAGUAUAAAUAGAGGGGGGGUGAACACACCUCUCCAUACCUUCUCUUCUCUUCUUUUCCCCCAAAUUCUUCUUCUCAUCUCUCUUUGUAAUUUAUUUUCAAUCAAUAAAAUUAGUUUUAUUUCAAUUUUCAAAUUCCAUUUUUACUUAUGUGUUUUUCAAUUUUAGUAAUUUCCUUUAUAAAAAAAAUGCUUAGCUAAAUAUUAAUAGUUAGGGGAAGGUGAAACUCUUAGGAAAUAAAUAUGAUUUAAUGAAAUUCUAUUUUUAAUUUUAUAAAUUAAAUUAUUUUCUAUUUAAUUUUGUACAUAUUUUAUAUUAUGAGAUUUUGAUUUUUUGUAGACAAACAAGGGAGUUUGGCACAAUAAAUUCUUUUUAUCAAAAUAUAAAGCAUGGUAAAAUGGUAUUUUGACUUAUUGUAGACAAAUUAAAUUUUGGCACAAUGAAUACUUAAUCCAUCAUAAAAUUAAAGGAAAAAUAAUAAUAAUUUAUAUAAUUAAUCUUUUGGGUAAUUUAAACAAAUUAAAUCUUUUCUCUAUGGAUCGACCUCGGACUCACCGAGAUAUAUUAUAACUAGGCACUCUUAUACUUGAGAGUAAAUCAAACACUUUUAAGUCAUGUCACGCGUCACUAUUCAAAUCGCGUAUUGUUGAUCGAUGACGUGGCGCAAUCCUAAGCAUCUAAAUUAUUUUUAAUCCAAUGGCCAUGAUUUACUUAAUGCAUCUACAAAAAGGGGACUCCCCAUAAUUUGGCAUCCCUGAAUUCAUUUUUGAGUUUCAUUUUCUGUAAUUCCUUCUCUAUCUUGUAUUUUCUACGUAUUUUAAUAAAUUCUCAUUUUACCCCUAAUUCAAUUAUGAGUAGCUAAUUUUCUUUCAAGCUUGGGUUGAAGGUGAAGUCUGAACAAUGCAACAAAUUCCUCAAGUUCCUCAAGUUCCUCAAGCAUCUCAACCCCCAUUUAGACCAUACAAUCAGAACCAUAACUACUCUCAACCCAGACCAUAGGAGGAUGCAUUCCAGAAUCUCAAGAAUCUUACUCACUACACGAUCGAGCAACAGAACCGCACCUUUGAUGAACUACGAAAUGGGAUGAGAGCAUGCUUCAACUCACAAGCCCAAUCAAUUUCAAACCUCGAGAAGAUGGUGGGAUAACUUACUUCUUCAGUUUAAACUUUGGCAAUGACUGUUGAGAAAGGUAAAUUUCAAAGUCAACUAGUGCCUAAUCCUAAAAUCCUAAAGGAGUGCAUAAAACAAGUACCAAUUCACAACAACAGUAUGGAGAGGUCAAAGUCGUCAUGACCUUGCGAAAAGGGAAGGAAGUCGACAAUAAAGUGGAGAUGCCGAUGACAAAAACAAAUUAAAUUGUACCUGUAAAUGCUGAGGAAUCAUCAUCAGAGGAGAAAGAAGAAAUCAACCUACGAGAAUAUGUUCCUAAAGCUCCAUUUCCUCAGAGAUUAACUAAAGGAAAUAAAGGAAAAUCCACAGGUGAGAUUUUUGAAAUCUUCGAAUAGGUAAGUGUUAACACUCCUUUGCUUGAUGCUAUAAAACAAGUGUCAUCUUAUGUCAAGUUAAAGACCUUUGUACUAAAACGAGAAACAUUCACGUUCAAAAUAAGGUCUUUUUAACAAAAAACGUUAGUUCUAUACUCCAACAUAAAAUUCCUCUAAAAUACAAAGACUGAGGCUCCCCCAUUAUCUCAUGUAGUAUAGGAACCACACAAUUGAGAUUGCUUUGUUGGAUUUAGGAGUUAGUGUAAAUCUGUUACUCUACUUAGUAUUUAAGAAACUUGGACUGAGAGAAUUACACCCAACUCCAAUGGUGUUACAGCUUACAGAUCGGUCCACGAAAAUACCUCGUGGUAUUGUGGAGGACGUGCUAAUCCAUGUAAACAAGUUUUAUUUCCCUGUUGAUUUCCUUGUAAUUGACACUAACCAAUUCAGGGUUCACGGAAGCACAUCCCCAUUAUCCUAGGCCAACCUUUCUUAGCAACUGCCAAUGCUCACAUUCAAUGCAGGACUGGAAAUAUGCAGUUGUUCUUUAGUAACAUGACUAUGGAGCUAAACAUCUUCAACAUUGCCAAACAACCUCACAAUGCAGAUGAUGGAAUUGUUGAUGUGGAUUUGAUAGAAACAUUAAUUGAUAAUACUUUUCUUUCAAACCUUAGUGAUGACCAUUUACAAACAUAUUUAACUCACUUUGGUUUGGCUUUUGAUAUUGACUGAUCAGUCGAUGAGGUCAAUGCUCUACUAGACUCAGCACUAUCCAUGGAAACUAAUAAAUGGAAGUCAAGAGUUGAACAACUAGCACCAUCAGAGAAGAAAUUCAUCCCAUCAUUAGAAGCACCACCGAAACUCGAGCUCAAACCAUUACCCAACACUUUGGAAUAUGCGUUUUUGGGAGAAAAAAGCACUCUGCCAGUAAUUAUCUCAUCAUCCUUAAAUGACGAACAAAAAAGUAAGUUGUUGGAUGUUUUAAAAGAGUACAAAGCAGCAUUAGGAUAGACUAUAAUCGAUAUAAAAUGUAUAAACCCAGUAGACUGCAUGCAUUACUUUCACCUUGAUAAAAAUGUUAAACUUAUUAGGGAAAUACAACGUCGGUUAAAUCCUAAUAUGAAAUAAGUUGUUAGAACUGAAGUCCUUAAACUAUUAGACGCAUGUAUCAUUUGCUCUAUUUCUGAUAGUUCAUGGGUCAGUCCUGUGCAAGUUGUCCCCAAAAAGUCAGGAGUCACAGUAGUUACCAAUGCUGAUAAUGAAUUGAUACCCACUUGAGUGACUACAGGAUGGCGUGUAUGCAUUGAUUAUAGAAAGUUGGAUUCUGUCACACGUAAAGACCAUUUUCCUUUACCAUUUAUCGAUCAAAUGUUUGAUAAAUUAGUAGGCCAUGAAUUUUAUUGCUUUCUAGAUGGCUACUCAUGAUAUAAUCAGAUUCCUAUAGCACCAAAAGAUCAAGAGAAGACCAUUUUCACUUGCCCUUUUGGCACUUUUGCAUAUAGGAGGAUGUGAUUUGGAUUAUGUAAUGCACCUGCUACAUUUCAACGAUGCAUGUUAAGCAUUUUUUCUAGUAUGGUUGAACGAUUCCGUGAAGUCUUUAUGGAUGACUUUUCUAUUUUUGGUGACUCAUUUGAUCAAUGUUUACAUCAUCUAACAUUAGUUCUGCAAAGAUGUAUAGAGAAAAACUUAGUCUUAAAUUGGGAGAAGAGACAUUUUAUGGUAAAAUAAGUUAUUGUUCCCGGUCACAUCAUUUCGAGCAAAGGUAUUGAGGUUGAUAAAGUCAAGAUGGAUCUCAUUUCUAAUCUUCCUCCACUUAAAACAGGCAGAGAAGUAAGAUUUUUUCUUGGGCAUGCUGGUUUUUAUAGGCGUUUCAUUAAAGAUUUUAGCAACGUUUCUAGACCCUUAUGCAAUUUACUUGCUAAGGAUGUACCUUUUGUCUUUGAUGAUUCAUGUCUUAUGGGAUUUGAAAAACUAAAGCAGUUGUUGACAUCAUCACCCAUCAUUCAGCUCCCAAAUUGGAGCUUACCAUUUGAGUGCAUGUGUGAUGCAUUUGAUUAUGCAAUAGGAGCAGUAUUGGGACAAAGAGUUGAUCGAAUUCCUCAUGUUAUGUACUAUGCUAGUAUGACGUUGAAUGAUGGACAAUUGAAUUAUUUAACCACUGAAAAAGAAAUGCUAGCAGUAGUGUUUGCAUUAGAGAAAUUCGAUCUUAUUUGAUUUGUUGUAAAAUAAUUGUGUUUACAAAUCAUGCUGCUCUUAAAUAUUUUCUCACAAAGAAAGAUGCAAAAGCUAAACUAAUUCAUCGGGUGUUACUUUUGCAGGAAUUCGACUUGGAAUUUAAAGAUAAGAAAGGCAUAGAAAAUGUUGUGGCUGACCAUCUCUCUCGUCUCCAUUUUGACACAAUUACAGAACCAUUAACAUUGAAUGAGUCAUUUCCAGAUGAACAAUUGAUGAGUGUGGAAGUAGUAUUAUGGUAUGCUGAUAUAAUUAAUUAUCUUGUUACAAGUCAACUUCCAAAGCAUUAGACCAAGCAAGACAAGGCCAAUUUUUUUUACAGAAAUAAAGAAUUUCUUUUGGGAUGACCUUUAUAUGUUUAAGUAUUAUGCAGAUCAAAUUGUUAGACAAUGUGUCCCAGAACAUGAAUUUCAAAAUAUCCUUUCAUUCUGCCGUGAACAAGCUUGUGGGGGCCAUUUCAGCGUUAAGAAAAUAGCCAUUAAAGUUUUACAAUGUGAUUUCUAUUGGCCAACUAUAUUUCGAGAAACUUACACUUUUUGCUCUUCAUGUGAUAGGUGUUAACGAAUGAGGAGCAUUACGCAAAGGAAUAUGAUGCCACCAAAUUCAAUUUUAGUGCUUCAGAUUUUUUAUGUGUGGGGUAUUGACUUCAUGGGACCUUUUCUCCCUUAUUUUGGCCAUCAGUACAUAUUCCUUGCUGUUGACUACGUAUCGAAAUGGGUAGAAGAAAUUCCAUGUAGAACUAAUGAUCACAAGGUGGUGAUAGGAUUUUUGAAAAGCAACAUUAUUUAACGCUUUGGAUUCCCUCAAGCAAUAAUUAGUGAUGGUGGUACCCACUUUUGUAACAAAGCAUUCAAAACUCUUUUGACAAAGUAUUUCAUCACUCAUAAAGUGGCGACCACAUAUCAUCCGUAAACCAGUGGCCAAGUUGAGAUCUCCAAUCGAGAAAUAAAGCACAUAUUAGAAAAGACGGUGAGGCCAGAUAGAAAAGAUUGGUCAUUAAGACUCGAUGAUGCAUUAUGGGCAUAGAGAACGGCUUUCAAGACCCUGAUUGGGAUGUCACCCUAUAGGCUAGUGUAUGGAAAAGUUUGCCACCUACCUGUGGAACUCAAGCAUCGUGCAUACUAGGCCAUCAAGAAAUUCAACUUUGACAUGCAGCAAGCUAGCUCAGAAAGAACAUUACAGCUGGUAGAACUUAAAGAAAUUCGCAAUGAUGCAUACGAAAAUGCCAAGAUUUACAAGCAGCGAAUGAAAGUCUUUCAUGACAAACAAAUUUUGAGAAAAUCUUUUACCCCAGGUCAGAAAGUACUUUUAUUCAAUUCUCGCUUGCACCUAUUCCCAGGUAAGUUACGCUCUCGAUGGUCUGGCCCCUUUAUUGUUCACACUGUUUUUCCACAUAGAGCAAUUGAAAUUAAGGACCCAAAGAACGGUGUCACUUUUAAAGUUAAUGGUCAAAGAUUAAAGCCAUAUCUAGAGUACCAACCACGUAGAGAGGACAGCAAAAUAACUUUGAGUGACCCACUAGAUUUAAAUUAAGAUUUUUCUUUCUUUUCGGUGAUUUGAUUUUUUUCUUUGUUUUUACUAUUAUUUUGCUAAUUGAAAUUAUUUUUGCAUAAGCAUGUUUGUUUAAUCAUUAAGUUUUCUCUUAUCAUUGUUAAUCAUGGGUGCCUCACCUAAAUAGAUCAUUCUAGACAUUCUUAGACGACUUCACUCAGAAGCCUGAUUUGAUUUUGUAAAACACAUCAUACUUGAGCUCCACAACCACCAAAGUUAGUAUCCCAUGUUGAAGAUUUAAAAAGACAACUUAGAGACAUUGAAUGAGGUAUCUUCGACAUCUAGUUGGAGCUUGAGGUAAAUUCAAUAAGAGGACAAUUGUAAUUUUCUUUGGGUGUUUUAGUUUUUUAUUCUGUUUGUUUGUUUUAGUUUGUUUUAGUUUGUUACUCCGUGACAAUCAAGUCGGUUACUUCAAUUUCCUAUAAUAACUGAUAUUCUAAGGUGAAGGUAUGGACAGAAACAAGAUUCUAGCAAGAAAACGAAGAGCUCGAAGAAUUUCUGUUGUUUGUCAUAAGUGUGCUAGAAUGAGAUGUGAUAAAAAACUAUGUUCUUUAGGAAUGGUGUCUGAUAACAGGAAAGAUAAGAUUCAAUUCAUUAGGGUUGGCUUGAAUAAGGAGUCAUUGGAUGAUAUCCUUUUGUCUCUUGAAACGCAUCCCAAUGGAUAUGUAUAAGGAGCGAUUCUCCAGUUAUGCCCAUUAUUAGAGAAAGAGCAUGCACAAUAUAGUCUCGAGAAUCUGACUAUAAACGACCCUAUUUGUCAGUUUAUAAGAAAAUUGGAUGGGAAGCCUAUCCUCAACCCAUAGAGGGCGUUCAAGCCGUUUCUGGACGUAAAACUAGAAGAAGAUGUGAGCCACAGUUCCAACUACCUCUAAAUAUCCUUUUACUUCACUGUUGUUUUAUUUUACUGUUGUUUUAUCAUUUGCAUUCUCGUCUUUAAUAAUUUUAUUUUAUCACUGUUUGCUUUUUCUAUUUUACUGUUUCCUUUUUUACUCUCGAGCCAUGUGCUUUACGCUUUAAUUGACACAGACAUGCUACCUUAUACACAAUUGUGACCUAUUGUCACCAAGAUUCUUAAAUAUGAUUUUUUUUGUUAAGCACUAACAAAUUUUUUUUGAGAAGUAUCUCAAUGGCAACUACUCUCAAUAAACAAUUCAAGAACAUUUGUGUGCUUUCUGGAUUUAACUGUGGCAAACAUAAAAAGUUCGUUGAGGUAUCCAUAGAUCUUAGUCAAAGUAUAGCAGAGAGAAAAUUACACUUCGUGUAUGGAGGAGGUAAUCGAGGGUUAUCAAAAUUGGUCUCAAAAACUACUUUUGUCAAAGGAAGCCAAGUGUUAGGCAUCAUCCCAAGAGCCCUAAAACCUUUGGGCAGUUUAUUUGACUAACUGACUGGAGAAGAGUUAGUCGUCUCAGGUAUGCAAGAGACAAUAACUGAAAUGCUAAAUCAUGCUGAUGCUUUUAUUUUCCUACCAGGAGAUCUUGCAGCUCUAGAGGCACUUAUCACAUUAGCAUCUUGGGCUCAUGUGAACAUUCACCAGAAAUCCAUCGGUUUGUUAAAUGUCAAUAACUUUUAUGAUGGCUUCAUCGCAUUUCUUAACCAUGCAACAAAAAAUUAUUUUCUUCUGUAUUGCACCACCUAGGUGAUGUCUUCUAAACUUUACUUCUUUCCUUUAAAACAUUGAGGACAAUGUUUCGUUCUGGUUGGGGGAGGGAAUAGUUGACAAUUGUGAAAUCUUGGUUAAGUUUUUACUAUUUUUUGUUGUAGAGACUAACCGUGGCUAACUUUUUAUGUUGAAGAUGGCUGAAUAUAGAGUGUAGUAACUCUAGAAAUGCAUCUUCUUGGUUAAAAAAAAAUAUUUUCUUUUUCUAUAAUUUUAAGUGUAACUUUCCUAAUUAGUUUUUCUACAUCAUUUUCACCUUUCAGCAAGCAUAUUUUCUUUCCAUAUUUAGAAUAUUUAGAAUGUCGUUUGAACUUAAAAAAAAAUGUGUGAUUUUUUUCUAACAUUAGUUGAUAUGAUGACUUUCAAAUUUUGGUAUUUGUAUUAUCUUUGGUCUUAACUCAUGUUACGCCAUGUUUGCUACUCUACAUGUUGAUGUCAGAGAUAAAUAUGAGUUGCUUGAAGGAAUUCACAUGUCAUAAUGAAUACCAAGAGUUUUUGUGCCUGUCAUUUUUCUUGCAGAGUAACCCCUUUUUGCCCAUUUUUCAUACAGUUUAGUAGUUUAUUAUUUUAUCCAUGAUCUCUAGAUUUCCUUUGAGUCAAUCCUAAAAAAAAUGGUUAAAUAAAAUUAAAAAAAGAGAAAAGAAAAAAAUGUAUUGCUACAUCUGAAGGUCCAUUUAAUUAGUAGAUAUGAAAGAUUAUUUAGAGCCCUAAAAGAUGACGGAACGACCAUCUUUGAUCCGUUUGAGCCUUUCUAGCCAUCCCUUUUGUGAAAUAUCCAUAGUUAACCCUUUUAACCCUUAAAAAAAAUAUUUUCUUUGUCAACUUAUCAUCUUGACCUACUCUGAUUUGGAGUAUUACCCGAUAGCUUACAAGUUCCAUCACCUAUUCAUGUUUGAGAAAAAUUUAAAUAAAUAUUUUAUUCAGUAAAGUUGUGCCAUACAAAAAAAAAACUCAAAAAAAAGAGAAAAAAAAUAUAAAUAAAAUGUACCUUGUGAUUUCCAAAUAACUCCACUUUUUCUCAAACAUCUAUUUUGUUUUUCCUAUUUUCCUUCAUUUGAGCCAUUUCCCUAGCCUAUGUUACAUCCUUAUAAAAGUCCUUCCUGAUUUUAAGGAGCUAUAGUCUAAAGUAGAAGCUAGUUAUAUGGGCUAAAAACAUGUAGUGGUGCAUAAAAAAAAAAAGAAAAUAAGAAAAUAAAUAAAUAAAUAAAUUGGGUUGACUAGCAUUUUUGUUUGACUUAAGACCAUAUUAUUUCUAAGCUAUGGGUAUAUUUCUUUCAUCUUAGUGAGAGUGUGCGAUAUUACUUCUUUAUUAUUUUCUCUCAAAUUUAGCACUCAUUGGAGUGACUAUUUUUAUUAGGUUUAAUUUCCUUGUGAGAGUGUCGCUACUUCCAGUGAGAUUUUGGGGUUUGACAUGUCAUUCUUGAAAGUAGCUAUGACAAAGUCUGCUGGACUGAUGCAUGUUGAUGGUUGACGUGGGAGUGAUAUUUCUUUAGACUAGAGAUAAUGCUUAUACUUUUAUUUGAUUGCUAUCAUUAGUCUAAUUGAAUAAACACGAUUGUUUUAAAAAAAAUCAUUUUGGGUUUGAAUUUUGUUUUCGCUUUAUUUACUAGGGACUAGCAAUAAGCUGGUUGGGCGGUGUGUUGAGUGUUAGAAAGUAUAUAUUUAUGAUGGAGAAAAUCGUCAUUUUACACUUCAAGUUUCACUAACAUUCCUAUUUUUAUGUAUUUAAGUAUCUUGUGAUUUAAUUAUGUGUGUUGUAUUAUAAUUAAGUAUUUUAUGUAUUUUAGGGGCAUUAUGGUCAUUUCACAAUGAACGAGAGAUUAGAUGGCAAAACAGACAUCACUUUUGAACUCAGAACAGUCGAAAACCUUAAGAGGAGCAUAAAAGGAAAAAUGACACUGUUCACAUGUACAGUACUAUCCAUGUUACUGUUCACGACACUAUUCAUAUAUAUGGAACGAUGACGUGGCAUUGACCGAUGAUGUGGCCUUGACUGAGGAGGUGUCACGAUUUUAUAAGACUAAAAUUCUUAUGUACUGUUAAUCGGUGACGUGGCAACAUGUUAGUGCACCAAAAUUUGUGCGUACGGUACAUGCAUAUACACAUGAUAACUUACAACCAAACCGCGUCACUGUUCAAACUGUGUCACUAUUCAAACCGCGUGGUCAAACUGCGUACUGUUGACCGAUGACGUGGCUCAAUCCUGAGCGUCCAAAAUAUUUUUAAUCCAAUGAUCAUGAUUUACUCAAUGUAUUUAUAAAAAGGGACCCCCCUAAUUUGGCAUCUCUGAAUUCAUUUUUUAGUUCCAUUUUCUGUAAUUCCUUCUCUAUCUUGUAUUUUCUACGUAUUUUAAUACAUUUCCAUUUUACCCCUAGUUCAAUUAUGAGUAGCUAAUUUUCUUUCAAGUCUCAACAUGUCGCAUGAGUUUUAUUUAGUAAAUUUAUUUUCUCUUCCUCUCUAAUUAUUGUGGAUGUUUUGACUUUUUAUCGACAAAUAGUAAUAAUCUUGUCUAGAAACCACACUAGUUUAAUCGGCUCCCUAGUACAAGGUUAUUAUUACUUGAUAUUAUAAACCCUUAGCACCAUAUUGAUUAGAGUGUGGUUCAUGAGGAGUGGAAACCCCCUCAUGAUUUAAUUGGCAUUAGUAAGGAUUAUUUAGCCCAUAGUGCAUGUUGAUGCAGAUCCAGAUACCCAAGUGCUUCAUUUCAAUAUAUUUCGCUUUAAUUUAUUCCCGCCAUUUUAAUUCAAAUUUCAAAAUAUUCCAAAUCAUUUUUACCAUAAAUCUAACUACCCACUUUGAAAAUUAAUUCUACAUAUAAUUAAAAUCCACCUCAUCGUUGGAUUGACACUCGUCACCAUUAAUCUAUUCUACAAUAGAUUCGUACAUUGCAAGUUCAAUAAAAUUUGCACAACAUAUUAUAUGGAAAAACUAUCUUGACAUCAAAUGAAAUUUCUUUUAUGGAGCCGUCGAGAAUCGUUUCUUACACGGUGGAUCCAAAGAGAUCUGAUUCCUUUUUUCCUCAUUGAGCACUUAAAGAAUGUUAUAUUGUUUUCACAUUUGUAGCAGAUACAACCCAAGAUAUGCCCUUCUAACAAUCAUGACUUUCCCAAAAAUUCAAACUGACUAAUAGAGUAAUCCUAAUGUCCAACAGACAUGCAAUAAACAACCAAACUUGUGACCCUUCUUUGAUUCACACCAAACUAGCUCCAAAGCCCAGACUUAUCAAGUACAUUAUUUAUUUAUACAUAUAUGACACAAUCUUUAUUUACUUUAUAGGUAUUGUAAAUCCUUCAACAUCAUACAUAAUCAGUUGUAUAGAUAUUAAGUUUUAGUAUAAUAACUGUGAGAAGCAGCCAAUUUUAAUUCAGAGUAAGUAAUUAGGUUACACAUAAACUGAUCCAGUUUCAUAUAUUACUAAUUUCAAAAAUAGGUAUCAAGUAGCACACAAAUUCAUUAGAUAAUCAUAGUUUGAUCAUAGAUCUCGUGCAGAGAUGCCACAAGCUUGAUCUCCAGUGUCUAGCUUACUUGCAAAUGGGGAGGAAACGCUGAUGCACGUUCAACGCGAGCAUAUAGAAAUGAAAUGUGAUAGAAGAAUUAUUUAACCGAGAUGAAAUGCGAUAGAAGAAUUAUUUACACGAGAUGUAGUAUCUUCUUGUCUGUGUGAGAGUAAGCGGUGCUACCACCCUCGAUGAUAACAGGACUGAAGAAAAUUUGAGAAGCCAAUGCAUGGAUUGCAUUAAGCUCUUGCCCAGUCACCAUGUUUGCUUGCUGAAACCCCUCCCUUUCUGCUAUCUGAAUUUCAGAAGCCAUAAAAUUUUAAUAACGUUCAGAACUUUUGGGAGAGGGAGAGACAAAUGCAUUAUACAUGCGAAGGAUUGAUUUGCAUACCUAUCAUCGAAGACACACACUUUCAUUUUCUAGUUCAAUCUCCUAUGAAAAUGAAAAUGUUAAAGAGUUCUAUCAAAGCUUGGAAGAAAACAAAAAAAGGCUAAUCAGAAUUUUAUGAAUUUUAAUUAUUACCCUUUUCUGCAAGAACUCAAUUUCAGCUAGCAGCAUUUCAUGUUGUUGCACAAAACAGGAAACAAACAAAGCAACAAAUUAUUUUCAAAAUGACAUAAUUUACAUAUACUGAACGUAUAUCGAUAAAGUUUAUACAAUGUAUUAUUGCAAAACAAUGGUGUAUUGCUCAAAUUCAAUUUUUUUUUCGUCGAUUUCAUGCAUGCAUAGUGCAAUUAAUUAGUUACCUUCUUGGAGCUGAUCCUAGUGAUGCCUCGCUCAAACCUAUUCUCCAGUUGCUUAAGCUCCUUUACAAUUAAAGAACUCAGAGAAUCACCUAUCAAAUGCCUAUAUGAAGAGUCAAAAGUGAGACAACAAAUUGAAAAUUCAAUUGAAAUUGUAUAUUUUGGCAUAAUUAACUAACUACGCUUAAUAUGAAAAUGAUUUUUGAUGAAAUAAUUGAAAAUGCCUGUUAGAAUUCUGUGAAAUUUGAAUUUGCUACCUCAGCUUUGCUGACUCCUACUGAUAGUAUUGUUUGCAUGGGUCACAUGUAAUGGGAAAAGUUAAAUUUUUAUUGGGAACUUUAUAUUUCAAUGCUAGCUAUGUGGUAAUAAUUGAUAAUAAGUUGUUUUUUUUUAACUUUUUCAUAAUAAUAUAUAUUCCUAGCAACGCUUGAAUUUGUAGCUUAAAUAAUAAAUUACGUACCUGAGCAUUGAUUUCAGUAACAGUGCCAGAAUAUAUUUAUUUUAUAGCUUAAAUUACAUACAUUUACACAUAUACUCUAGGAAUAGCAGGUUAUAUUCAUCAAAUUCAUCUAAAAAUAACUAACUAACCAGAUAGCUCAACUUCUUUUCUUUCCAACUGAAUUUCUACACUUGGUAGAUUCUCAGCAAGUUUAGCGAUAACCUUCAGGAACUCCAGAUAAUCUGAGUCUUUAUUGUCCACAUCAAAACCAAAAACAACUUAUUGCUAUAAUACUUCUAAAAACAAUAAGAAGAUAAAGAAAAUAAAGAAAAUAAAGGUAUGACCGACAAGCGCAUAGAUCAGUUGGUAAGGGGUUGUUCUAUCUUAACCAAGGUCCUUGGUUUGAGACUUGGGAAUGUAGCUAUGUUAAAUACUUGUUGGGAGAGCUUUGAUGCCCUAGUGGUCCUACCCGACUCGAAUCUGGAUUAGUCGAGGACCAAUGUAGUUUUCGGAUACUAGAUGGUUUAAUAUACCCAAAUUUGUAAUUGUCAUGCUUUUUCUUAACUUUGAAAUUUAGCAGCUAAAGUGUAUUUGUAAAAGCCACAACACUUCCACCCCAAAAGUACCCUAAGUUUUUUUAAAUAAAAAAUUACCUUUAAAAAUGGUGCCUUCACGACUAUCCUCUCUAGAACAAAGAUUGGGAACAUGUUGAGAUGAAGUAUAUUCAACAAUAGCCCUAAAGUAAGCACUUAAUCGAGAACCCAAUAACACAUAUAUUUAACCAAACAGAAAAUGCCCUUUUCAUUUAAAACAACAUAAAUUCAUUUAUACCAAAUUGAGAUUGAUAAGAAAAAGCAAAAGGGAAAGCAAAAUUACCCUUUUUCAUUAACAAANNNNNNNNNNNNNNNNNNNNNNNNNNNNNNNNNNNNNNNNNNNNNNNNNNNNNNNNNNNNNNNNNNNNNNNNNNNNNNNNNNNNNNNNNNNNNNNNNNNNNNNNNNNNNNNNNNNNNNNNNNNNNNNNNNNNNNNNNNNNNNNNNNNNNNNNNNNNNNNNNNNNNNNNNNNNNNNNNNNNNNNNNNNNNNNNNNNNNNNNNNNNNNNNNNNNNNNNNNNNNNNNNNNNNNNNNNNNNNNNNNNNNNNNNNNNNNNNNNNNNNNNNNNNNNNNNNNNNNNNNNNNNNNNNNNNNNNNNNNNNNNNNNNNNNNNNNNNNNNNNNNNNNNNNNNNNNNNNNNNNNNNNNNNNNNNNNNNNNNNNNNNNNNNNNNNNNNNNNNNNNNNNNNNNNNNNNNNNNNNNNNNNNNNNNNNNNNNNNNNNNNNNNNNNNNNNNNNNNNNNNNNNNNNNNNNNNNNNNNNNNNNNNNNNNNNNNNNNNNNNNNNNNNNNNNNNNNNNNNNNNNNNNNNNNNNNNNNNNNNNNNNNNNNNNNNNNNNNNNNNNNNNNNNNNNNNNNNNNNNNNNNNNNNNNNNNNNNNNNNNNNNNNNNNNNNNNNNNNNNNNNNNNNNNNNNNNNNNNNNNNNNNNNNNNNNNNNNNNNNNNNNNNNNNNNNNNNNNNNNNNNNNNNNNNNNNNNNNNNNNNNNNNNNNNNNNNNNNNNNNNNNNNNNNNNNNNNNNNNNNNNNNNNNNNNNNNNNNNNNNNNNNNNNNNNNNNNNNNNNNNNNNNNNNNNNNNNNNNNNNNNNNNNNNNNAAAGGGCUAAAAGGGUCAGUUUGAGAGAGGGAAGGAGGCAAACGACAAAUCACUACUUUGGUUCUCUACAAUGGCUUCUUCAUUUCAUCGCAUUCAAUUUGUCCCGAUUGUAUUGAAAUCGAAAAUUGAAAAAGAGCUUUGAUUAUUUCGUACCCUAAUUUUCAAUGUGGGCGUUCCCUUUGCGGGUAACACGUGUCGAUAAGUUAACAACAUUCAUAUUUCAUUGCCCUGGGAAAGGACGAUUAAUAUUCUUCCCUACUUCUCUUCGUAUCACUUCUGAGGAAUCUGGGGGUCUUGACGUGUAAAUGACCAAAAAAACCCUAUAAAGAAUGAAUACGCUAGUUUAAUAAAGGAGCAUCCACAAUAAUAAUAAUAAUGGGAGAUUGUGGGUAUUCCUCUAUUCAAAUCAAUAUAUACUAAUUACUUUAGUAUUCUUUAUAAAAUAUUUAAUAAUUUUUUAAUAGUAUGAUUUUAUAGUAUUAUUUCUAUCUUUAAAUGAAUUUUUAUUCAUAUUUAUUAUAAAUUAAAUGAAUAAUGCAAAUACAAAUUAGAAGAAAAAAUAAAUACUAAAAAUAAAAAUAUAUGCUUCAAUAUAAAUAAAAAUUAAUUAUAAAAUAUUUUCUUGUACUUUUUUAUUUUUAAAUAUUUUUCUUAUAAUGAAUACAUAUAUUAUGACUCCAAGAUAAGUUAUUAAAAAAAUUACUCAUUUUCCCUUUUCUAUUUUAAUUUUAUUGGGGACGGGAGAGUUUUUAUAUAUUAUAAAAUCAAUACAAAAUAAGUGAUAUGUAUUAGUUCAAAUAGAAAAAAAAUUAAAAACCUCCUUAAUAAUAGAAGUGACGACAUAAUGAAAGGCAAAAGUGAGAAAUUUCAUGUUCAUUCAUCUUUUAGAUUCUUUUUUUCUCAAAUUUCUAUUUAAACCCUUUGAAAUUCUUUUCUUCUCAACUUUCUACUUAAACUUUCUUACAUUCUUUGCUUCUCAACUUUCUAUUUGAACUCUUUUAAAUUCUUUUCUUCAAACUCUUUUAAAUUCUUUACUUCUCAACUUUCUAUUACAUUCAUUAUUUAAUUUAUAAUUUUCAUACCUUAAAUCCUAAAGUUUAAGUCAAGUCUCUUCCCAUUUAUCAUCUCUUCAUACGCAACGCAAUCUUUUUAGCUCUCCUCUCUUCGCAAGUAAGUAAAAUCUCAGUUCAUCGCAUCAUCUUACGGUUUGUAUUCAUACUUUGCUUUCUCCAAAUUGCCCUCGCAUUUUCCUUUCAAUCUCAAUUUAUGUUUUUUUUAUUAUAGACUCAAUUUUCUUUACCUCGGUUUGUAAAUUUUAUUGGAUGUCAUGCAUAAUCAUGGGUGACCCAAUUAAGAGCUUGGAGGGGGUUCAACCCCUUCUGGGCCAUUAAUUAUUCUUUUAAAUGUGCUUAAAACUAUUUCUAAACCAUUUAAAAAAAAAUUUCGACACAUUUUUCAUGUAACAAAAGACUUUUGAUUCAAUGGUAAGAGUUUAUUUGAUGGUUUUAAAGUCCUGAUUCAAUCCCAAUAGCCACAUAAUUUUUUUUUUAUAUUUUGCGGAAACUAUUUAGAAAAAUGAUACUUUCAUGCAUUUGAAAUAAAUAGUUUUUUACUAUUGUUAUUUAGAAUUUAAAAGAAAGUAAUGAAAUUUGAGUUUAUGAGACUUAAAAUAUAUUCGUGUGAACAUUAAAAAAAACCAAAUUAAAUAAAAAAAAUUUAACAAGCCCCCCUAAUUGAAUUGUCUAGGUUCGCCACUGUGCAUAAUUGAUCGUCGUCAUUUUUUUUCAAUAAUUUCAUAAAACAAGCAAAAUUAAAUUAAAAUAUAUAUCAGGACAAUUUAUUAAUUAACUGAUGUUGUUUAGAUUCUGUGCCUGAUUAUAUAUCGAUUCAUCAUAUUUUUAUUAAGAUUAUAAAUUUACACUAUAUUGUCGAGGUCUGAAUGAUUUUUAUUUUUAAUAUUUUUUAUGAAUUUAUUUAUGUUCGAUUGGAUAAUAUUUAAAGUAAUAAAAAAUAUAAGUUUUAAUAGAGUGAAAUUGUAAGCGUAUGGUGACUAAAUUUUCUUUCUAAUUGUUUAACAAUAAAAAGUGAAUUCAAUGUGAAGUGGUUUGAUAUUAUAAAUGCAUUGCAGGUAAAUUGAAUUUUUUUUAAGGAUGGGAGAAAGAGUGAUUGAUGGCGAUUGGAAGCCUACUUCUCCAUCUAAUGGGGAGCGCACUGUGGUUUUACUUGGCCGUACUGGCAAUGGAAAAAGUGCGACGGGCAAUAGUAUUCUCGGAAGAAGAGCUUUUAAGGCGAGUGCUAGCUCGUCUGCUGUUACUAAAACUUGUGAAAUGAAGACAACUGUGCUCAAAGAUGGCCAAGUUGUUAAUGUCAUUGAUACCCCCGGUAAUUUACUAAUGUUGGUGCCUAGAUAUUCCAUUCCAUGCUUGUUGAUGUUGUGCUGGUAAGUAGAUUGAUGUUAUGAGCGAUUGCAGGACUUUUUGAUUCUUCCACUGAAUUUGAGUAUGUCAGUAAGGAAAUUGUCAAAUGUAUUGGUAUGGCCAAGGAUGGGAUCCAUGCAGUCCUUCUAGUUUUCUCUGUUAGAAGCCGUUUUUCUCAAGAGGAAGAAGCUGCAGUACACCAUUUGCAGACAUUGUUCGGGAAAAAAAUUUUUGACUAUAUGAUUGUUGUCUUCACUGGAGGGGAUGAUCUUGAAGAUAAUGAGAAAACAUUAGAAGAUUACUUGGGUCUUGAGUGUCCAAAGCCUUUAAAGGUUUGUUUCUGAACAGCAAUUGUUUUCGAUAAUUUCAUUAGUCAUUUUGAUCAAGUUGUCUUUCUUUGGUUCUUUUUUGAUGUUUUAGACUCCUUUACUGUUGGGCUAUGGGAAUUUUAAUAUGAAUAUAUGUAAGCUGAAAAAUACUAGAUAUGUUUAUAGUAGGCCAGCUGUCUUAAAGUUCCAUUUUCAAUAGUGCUUCAUUUCCUAAAUGGUUUUCUUCUGCCAUGUGGGAUUGGCUGAAGAGGUGGUUGGUAAUUUUCUGCUGGCGUUACUUAAUUUUAGUUAUAUGUUAAUGUCUUUGAAUGAGAUGUCAUUCAUUCAUUCAUUUGCUAAACAUUUAUGCUUUUUUUAUUUGUAUUCUUUGAUUUCGAGUGUGGUUGGAAUUGAAGUUGGAUAGUUGUAGCUUAAAAGGUAUAGCAGUAAAGUGUUUGUUAGCUGUUGUAGCAUAAAAGUUGUAUUAAUAUGAUUUUUCACUUGUAUAACGGAGAAUCUAUUAUAUUUUUAAUAAUUUUGUUAAAAGUAUUAUUUAUAAUUUAUAUUUACUACAUAUUAUUAACUUUUAUUUCAUAGUUAAAGUUUUUUCCUCACAACAGUUGUAGCUUAAAAGUUACAGUACCUCAAUCCCAAAUGCACCUUUCAUCCGCUAUUUAAUCUUGGUUCUUAUUUGAUUCAUUUUUGUUCAUUUGUUUGUUUAUUAAAAUAUAUACCUCUUUGAUUUAUACACUUAAAAUUAACCUACUUUUAAGAUUUCAAGAGUGUGCCAAGGAGGAUAUGACUUCCUAUACAAGUCCAUUUUAUUAGGCGUUGUUAGAAUAAAAUAUCAAGUCUAAGCCUCAAAAUUAGUGCCUAAAAUUUCAAUAUGAGAUCUUUUCUCAGUUUCAACAUGCAAAUCUCUUAUUCUUAGAACUUACUUGAUGAAUUUGGUUCCUAAAACUUUUUAAGUUGAGAAAGAUUUAUAUCAAGUUCCUCUAUUUUACUGCAUACUUGAUUUAACCUAUGAGAAGUAUGAAGAAAAAUAACAAAAAUGAAGAUAAAGACCCAUUCAAGUUGCAACUCUGCAAUUAAAAAAAUUGGGUUAUUUUAUAGUUAAAGUGAACUUUAUUUUUUUUAUUGCACUAAUUUUCAUAGUUUGAAGGAAUCAAAUUUUUUUAAUUAUAAUACCGCAAAAUUAGGUCAAUUAUGUAGAUGCCACAGAAAACAUGAUCAUGUCUUUUGGCAGCUUUGAGGUUUGGUCACUUGAGUUUGUUUAUGACAAUAAUACUGUCUUUUGCCCAGUGAAGAGACAUGUACUGAUUUGUAGCCACUAAUUUUGAUUGAGUCAAUGCUUCUCAUUGGAAUAUAUGCAGAUGAUGAUGAUGAUUGUAAUUUUUUUUUUUUUGUUAUUGGUUGCCCUUAAAUAGUUUGAGUAGAUGCAUGAUAUUAAGUACCAAUGAUCACAGUAAAAACAAAUUUUGUCAGUUGAAUAGCCUCAAACUUUUAGAAACUACAAGUGUUUGAUUGGUUCAUCAGUGCAUACGAAAAGAGCUAACAUUUGCUUUAUUCCUGAUCAUUUUUCCAUCAUUAUAGGAAAUCCUUAAACUAUGUGAUCAUAGAUGCGUGCUUUUUGAUAACAAGACCAAGUAUAAGGUCAAGAGAACUGAACAGGUUCAGCAGCUUCUUUCUUUAGUUAACGCUGUGAAUGUUAAGAAUGGUGGGCAGCCAUACACGAACGAGUUCUUUGCUGAGUUGAAGGUGACUUCAUUACUAUCGUGAUAGACUUAUGUGCUACUUCUUUUUAAAUAUGGCAUGACAAUGUCACUUUUUUCUUUUUUGUAUAAUGCUGCUACUCUAGGGCUUAGUGGCAUGUUUAAUGACGAAUAUUGAUGCAUUUUGAUAGGUUGAGUCUAAGCUCAAAGAGACAACAACUAAGCUCGAACAACAAUUGGCUGAGGAGCAAGCUGCUCGGUUGAAGGGAGAAGAGGCUGCACAAUUAGCUCAAAGGAAGUCAAAUGAUGAAAUUCGUAAGCUUAAAGAGAAUCUUAAAAGAGCUCAGAGGGAGAUUGAGGACCAGAUGCAUGAAUCAAAUGAAUAUCAAAUCAAACGAAUUACUGAAAUGGUAUUUUUUAUGAUCCUACUUUUAACAUCAAAAUAUGACAUGCAUAUUGUCCAUCUCUAAGAUCGGGUAAUCAUUUCUAAAAUUGUAUAAUUAAAAAAAUGCCUAUAAAGUGUGCAUGUACCUGGAAUGUUAUUCUAAAUUGUAAGACCUGGAAGUGAUAGAGACUGCCACUUUGUCCUUACCCAUAACUUGUUGGAGAUUGCCAUCUGAAAAGAUACAUCAUCUCACUGGUUGAUGGGGAAAAAUAUGUUUUUAAUUUGUUCACUGGUUCUGUUUUGAAGGCUGUAACAUGUUGUUUUUACCUUGCUGAUUGUUUGACUAUCUUGUUCUGUUUUGUUUUUUCUCUUGAUGAAAUUAAGUUCAUUACUUUAUGGUAGUAGCUAUAGGCGGAUUACUCAUCAUGACUUACACUUAAGAAUGGAUUCUACACUUGUUUAGUCAUCAAUGAUAAGAACAUUUAUUCUUAUACUGUGGAUAUUGUAUUAUCUAUUUACUUUUUUAAGCUUUUGUUUCUAUCAUUUAUCAAUGAUUGAGAGAGUGGAAUUUAUUGAAGUAAGAAAGUUGUGUAGAGUAUGGUGAACUUAACAACUCCCUUUACAAUUGGAUUAAACUAAAUUAAUACUUAAGAUUUUUCUUUUCUUAAGUUUAAGUUUUAUAUUACCAAUACCCAAUCUUUAUUUGUAUUAUGCUGCUACUCUAGGGCUCAUUGGCAUGCUUUAUGACUUAUAUUGAUGUUUUUUUUAUAGGUUGAGUCUAAACUCAAAGAGACAACAACUAGGCUUGAACAACAAUUGGCAGAGGAGCAAGUUGCUCGCUUAAAGGGAGAAGAAGUUGCACAAUUAGCGCAAAGGAAGUCAAAUGACAAAAUUCAUAAGCUUAGAGAUAAUCUUGAAAGAGCUCAGAGGGAGACUGAAGACCAGAUGCAUGAAUCAUAUGAAGAUCAAAUCAAACGAAUUACUGAGGUGGUAUUUUUUAUGCUGCUGCUUUUAACAUCAAAAUAUGACAUGCAUAUUGUCCAUCUCUAAGUUCGGGCAAUCAUUUCUAAAACUAUGUAAUUAAAAAAAUGCCUAUAAAGUGUGCAGGUACCUGGAAUGAUAUUCUAAAUUGUAAGACUUGGAAGUGGUAGAGACUGCCACUCUGUCCUUACCCAUAACUUGUUAGAGAUUGCCAUCUGAAAAGACACAUCAUCUCGCUAGUUGAUGGGAAAAAAUAUGUUUUUAAUUUGUUCACUGGUUGUGUUUUGAAAGCUAUAACAUGUUGUUCUUACCUUGAAGAUUGUUUGACUAUCUUGUUAUGUUUUUUUUCUUCUUUUGAUGAAAUUAAGUAGAUUACUCAAUGGUAGUAGCUAUAGGUGGUUUGCUCAUCAUGACCUACACUUAGGAAUGGAUUCUGCACUUGUUUAGUCAUUAAUCAUCAGAACAUUUCUUGUAAUAUUGUGGAUAUAAUGUUAUAUGUUUAUUUUUUAAGCUUUUGUUUCUAUCAUUUAUCAAUAAUUAAGAGAGUGGAAUUGAUUGAAGUAAGAAAGUUGUGCCGAGUAUGGUGAACUUAGCAAUUCGCUUUGCAAUUAGAUUAAACUAAAUUAAUAAUUAAGAUUUUUCUUUUCUUAAAUUAAAGUUUUAUAUUACCACUACCCAAUCAUUAUUUGUAUUAUGCUGCAACUCUAGGGCUUAGUGACAUGUUUUAUGACUGAUAUUGAUGUUUGUUUGAUAGGUUGAGUCCAAGCUCAAAGAGAUAACAACUCAACUCGAACAACAAUUGGCAGAGGAGCAAACUGAUCGGUUAAAGGGAGAAGAGGUUGCACAAUUAGCUCAAAGAAAGUCAAAUGAUGAAAUUUAUAAGCUUAGGGAGAAUCUUGAAAGAGCUCAGAAGGAGACUGAGGAAAAGAUGCAUGAAUCAUACGAAGAUCAAAUCAAACGAAUUACUGAGGUGGUACUUUUUAUGCUCCUUAUUUUGACAUCAAAAUAGCACAUGCACAUGUGUUCAUUUCUCAGAUCGGGUAAUAAUUUCUAGAACUGUGUAAUAAAAAAAUGCCUAUAAAGUGUGUAGGUACCUGUAAUGAUAUUCUAAAUUGUAAGACUUGGAGGUGGCAAAGAUUGCCACUCUGUCCUUUCCCCUAAAUUGUUGGGGAUUGCCAUCUGAAGAAGACGCUUAACCUCGCUAGUUGAUGGGCACAAAUCUGUUAUUAAGUUACAUGUUCAUUGAUUGUGUUUUCAAAGUUGUAGCAUGUUGUUCUUACGUUGAAAAUUGUUUGACUAUCUUGUUCUGUUUUGUUUCUUAUCUCGAUUACAUUAAGUAGAUUACUCUAUGGUAGUAGCUAUAGGUGGUUUGCUCAUUAUAAAUUACACUUAGCCAUGGAUUCUGCAAUUGUUUAGUCAUCAAUAAUAAGAACAUUUCUUCUUAUACUGUGGAUACUGUACCAUCUGUUUAUUUUUAAGCUUUUGUUUCUAACAUUUAUCAAUGAUAGAUAGAGUGGAUUUAAUUCAAGUAAGAAAGUUGUGCCGAGUAUGGUGAACUUGGAAACUUUCUUUGCAAUUGGAUUAAACUAAAUUAAUACUUAAUAUUUUUCUUUUCUUAAGUUGGAGUUUUAUGUUACCAAUACCCAACCUUUAUUUGUAUUAUGCUGCUAUUCUAGUGCUUAGUGACAUGUUUUAUGAAUGAUAUUGAUGUUUUUUUUUAUAGGUUGAGUCCAAGCACAAAGAGAUAACAACUCAACUCGAACAACAAUUGGCAGAGGAGCAAACUGAUCGGUUAAAGGGAGAAGAGGUUGCACAAUUAGCUCGAAGAAAGUCAAAUGAUGAAAUUCAGAAGCUUAGGGAGAAUGUUGAAAGAGCUCAAAAGGAGACUGAGGACAAGUUGCAAGAAUCAUAUAAAGAUCAAAUCAAACGAAUUACUGAGGUGGUACUUUUUAUGCUCCUUAUUUUGACAUCAAAAUUUGACAUGCUCAUGUGUUCAUUUCUCAGAUCGGGUAAUAAUUUCUAGAACUGUGUAAUUAAAAAAUGCCUAUAAAGUGUGCAGAUACCUGUAAUGAUAUUCUAAAUUGUAAGACUUGGAGCUGGUAAAGAUUGCCACUCUGUCCUUUCCCCUAAAUUGUUGGGGAUUGCCAUCUGAAGAAGACGCUUAACCUCGCUAGUUGAUGGGCAAAAAUCUAUUAUUAAGUUAUAUGUUCAUUGAUUGUGUUUUCAAAGUUGUAGCAUGUUGUUCUUACGUUGAAAAUUGUUUGACUAUCUUGUUCUGUUUUGUUUCUUAUCUCGAUUACAUUAAGUAGAUUACUCUAUGGUAGUAGCUAUAGGUGGUUUGCUCAUUAUGAAUUACACUUAGAAAUGGAUUCUGCACUUGUUUAGUCAUUAAUAAUAAGAACAUUUCUUCUUAUACUGUGGAUACUAUAUCAUCUGUUUAUUUUUAAGCUUUUGUUUCUAUCAUUUAUUAAUGAUUGAUAGAGUGGAAUUGAUUCAUGUAAGAAAGUUGUGCCGAGUAUGGUGAACUUGGAAACUUUCUUUGCAAUUGGAUUAAACUAAAUUAAUACUUAUGAUUUUUAUUUUCUUAAGUUGGAGUUUUAUGUUACCAAUACUCAACCUUUAUUUGUAUUAUGCUGCUAUUCUAGCGCUUGGUGACAUGUUUUAUGACUGAUAUUGAUGUGUUUUUGACAGGUUGAGUCCAAGCUCAAAGAGAUAACAACUCAACUCGAACAACAAUUGGCAGAGGAGCAAACUGAUAGGUUAAAGGGAGAAGAGGUUGCACAAUUAGCUCAAAGAAAGUCAAAUGACGAAAUUCAUAAGCUUAGGGAGAUUCUUGAAAGAGCUCAGAAGGAGACUGAGGACAAGAUGCAUGAAUCAUAUGAAGAUCAAGUCAAACGAAUUACUGAGGUGGUACUUUUUAUGCACCUUACUUUGACAUCAAAAUAUGACAUGCACAUGUGUUCAUUUCUCAAAUCGGGUUAUAAUUUCUAGAUUUAUGUAAUAAAACAAUGCCAAUAAAGUGUGCAGGUACCUGUAAUGAUAUUCUAAAUUAUAAGACUUGGAGGUGGUAAAGAUUGCCACUCUGUCCUUUCCCCUAAAUUGUUGGGGAUUGCCAUCUAAAGAAGACGCUUAACCUCGCUAGUUGAUGGGCACACAUCUGUUAUUAAGUUAUAUGUCCAUUGAUUGUGUUUUCAAAGUUGUAGCAUGUUGUUCUUACGUUGAAAAUUGUUUGACUAUCUUGUUCUGUUUUGUUUCUUAUCUCGAUUACAUUAAGUAGAUUACUCUAUGGUAGUAGCUAUAGGUGGUUUGCUCAUUAUAAAUUACACUUAGAAAUGGAUUCUGCACUUGUUUAGUCAUCAAUAAUAAGAACAUUUCUUCUUAUACUGUGGAUACUGUAUCAUCUGUUUAUUUUUAAGCUUUUGUUUCUAUCAUUUAUCAAUGAUUGAUAGAGUGGAUUUGAUUCAAGUAAGAUAGUUGUGCCCAGUAUGGUGAACUUGGAAACUUUGUUUGCAAUUGGAUUAAACUAAAUUAAUACUUCAGAUUUUUCUUUUCUUAAGUUGGAGUUUUAUGAUACGAAUACCCAACCUUUGUUUGUAUUAUGCUGCUAUUCUAGCGCUUAGUGACAUAUUUUAUAACUGAUAUGGAUGUGUUUUUGAUAGGUUGAGUCCAAGCUCCAAGAGAUAACAACUCAACUCGAACAACAAUUAGCAGAGGAGCAAACUGAUAGGUUAAAAGGAGAAGAGGUUGCACAAUUAGCUCAAAGAAAGUCAAAUGAUGAAAUUCAUAAGCUUAGGGAGAAUAUUGAAAGAGCUCAGAAGGAGACUGAGGACAAGAUGCAUAAAUCAUAUGAAGAUCAAAUCAAACGAAUUACUGAGGUUGUACUUUUUAUGCUCUUUAUUUUGACAUCAAAAUAUGACAUGCACAUGUGUUCAUUUCUCAGAUCGGGUAAUAAUUUCUAGAACUGUGUAAUAAAAAAAUUCCUAUAAAGUGUGCAGGUACCUGUAAUGAUAUUCUAAAUUGUAAGACUUGGAGGUGGUAAACAUUGCCACUCUGUCCUUUCCCCUAAAUUGUUGUGGAUUGCCAUUUAAAGAAGACGCUUAACCUGGCUAGUUGUUGGGCACAAAUCUAUUAUUAAGUUAUAUGUUCAUUGAUUCUGUUUUCAAAGUUGUAGCAUGUUGUUUUUACCUUGAAAAUUGUUUGACUAUCUUGUUCUGUUUUGUUUCUUUUCUCGAUUACGUUAAGUAGAGUACUCUAUGGUAGUAGCUAUAGGUGGUUUGCUCAUUAUAAAUUACACUUAGGAAUGGAUUAUGAACUUAUUUAGUCAUCAAUCAUAAGAACAUUUCUUGUAAUAUUGUGUAUAUAAUGUUAUAUGUUUAUUUUUUAAACUUUUGUUUCUAUCAUUUAUCAAUAAUUAAGAGAGUGGAAUUGAUUGAAGUAAGAAAGCUGUGCCGAGUAUGGUGAACUUAGCAACUUGCUUUGCAAUUCGAUUAAAAUAAAUUAAUAAUUAAGAUUUUUCUUUUCUUAAAUUAGAGUUUUAUAUUACCAAUACCCAACCUUUAUUUGUAUUAUGCUACUAUUCUAGCGCUUAGUGACAUGUUUUAUGACUGAUAUUGAUGUUUUUUUUAUAGGUUGAGUCCAAGCUCAAAGAGAUAACAACUGAACUCGGACAACAAUUGGCAGAGGAGCAAACUGAUCGGUUAAAAGGAGAAGAGGUUGCACAAUUAGCUCAAAGAAAGUCAAAUGAUGAAAUUCAUAAGCUUAGGGAGAAUCUUGAAAGAGCUCAGAAGGAGACUGAGGACAAGAUGCAUGAAUCAUAUGAAGAUCAAAUCAAACGAAUUACUGAGGUUGUACUUUUUAUGCUCCUUAUUUUGAUAUCAAAAUAUAAUAUGCACAUGUGUUUAUUUCUCAGAUCGGGUAAUAAUUUCUUGAACUGUGUAAUAAAAAAAUUCCUAUAAAGUGUGUAGGUACCUGUAAUGAUAUUCUAAAUUGUAAGACUUGAAGGUGGUAAACAUUGCCACUCUGUCCUUUCCCCUAAAUUGUUGGGGAUUGCCAUUUGAAGAAGACGCUUAACCUCGCUACUUGAUGGGCACAAAUAUGUUAUUAAGUUAUAUGUUCAUUGAUUGUGUUUUCAAAGUUGUAGCAUGUUGUUCUUACCUUGAAAAUUGUUUGACUAUCUUGUUCUGUUUUGUUUCUUAUCUCGAUUACAUUAAGUAGAGUACUCUAUGGUAGUAGCUAUAGGUGGUUUGCUCAUUAUAAAUUACACUUAGGAAUGGAUUAUGAACUUAUUUAGUCAUCAAUCAUAAGAACAUUUCUUGUAGUAUUGUGGAUAUAAUGUUAUAUGUUUAUUUUUUAAGCUUUUGUUUCUAUCAUUUAUCAGUAAUUAAGAGAAUGGAAUUGAUUGAAGUAAGAAAGUUGUGCCGAGUAUGGUGAACUUAGCAACUUGCUUUGCAAUUAGAUUAAAAUAAAUUAAUACUUAAGAUUUUUCUUUUCUUAAAUUAGAGUUUUAUAUUACCAAUACCCAACUUUUAUUUGUAUUAUGCUGCUAUUCUAGCGCUUAGUGACAUGUUUUAUGAUUGAUAUUGAUGUUUUUUUUAUAGGUUGAAUCCAAGCUCAAAGAGAUAACAACUCAACUCGAACAACAAUUGGCAGAGGAGCAAACUGAUCGGUUAAAAGGAGAAGAGGUUGCACAAUUAGCUCAAAGAAAGUCAAAUGAUGAAAUUCAUAAGCUUAGGGAGAAUAUUGAAAGAGCUCAGAAGGAGACUGAGGACAAGAUGCAUGAAUCAUAUGAAGAUCAAAUCAAACGAAUUACUGAGGUUGUACUUUUUAUGCUCCUUAUUUUGACAUCAAAAUAUGACAUGCACAUGUGUUCAUUUCUCUGAUCGGGUAAUAAUUUCUAGAACUGUGUAAUAAAAAAUGCCUAUAAAGUGUGUAGGUACCUGUGAUGAUAUUCUAAAUUGUAAGACUUGGAGGUGGUAAAGAUUGCCACUCUGUCCUUUCCCCUAAAUUAUUGGGGAUUGCCAUAUGAAGAAGACACUUAACCUCGCUAGUUGUUGGGCACAAAUCUGUUAUUAAGUUAUAUGUUCAUUGAUUCUGUUUUCAAAGUUGUAGCAUGUUGUUUUUACCUUGAAAAUUGUUUGACUAUCUUGUUCUGUUUUGUUUCUUUUCUCGAUUACGUUAAGUAGAGUACUCUAUGGUAGUAGCUAUAGGUGGUUUGCUCAUUAUAAAUUACACUUAGGAAUGGAUUAUGAACUUAUUUAGUCAUCAAUCAUAAGAACAUUUCUUGUAAUAUUGUGUAUAUAAUGUUAUAUGUUUAUUUUUUAAACUUUUGUUUCUAUCAUUUAUCAAUAAUUAAGAGAGUGGAAUUGAUUGAAGUAAGAAAGCUGUGCCGAGUAUGGUGAACUUAGCAACUUGCUUUGCAAUUCGAUUAAAAUAAAUUAAUAAUUAAGAUUUUUCUUUUCUUAAAUUAGAGUUUUAUAUUACCAAUACCCAACCUUUAUUUGUAUUAUGCUACUAUUCUAGCGCUUAGUGACAUGUUUUAUGACUGAUAUUGAUGUUUUUUUUAUAGGUUGAGUCCAAGCUCAAAGAGAUAACAACUCAACUCGAACAACAAUUGGCAGAGGAGCAAACUGAUAGGUUAAAGGGAGAAGAGGUUGCACAAUUAGCUCAAAGAAAGUCAAAUGACGAAAUUCAUAAGCUUAGGGAGAUUCUUGAAAGAGCUCAGAAGGAGACUGAGGACAAGAUGCAUGAAUCAUAUGAAGAUCAAAUCAAACGAAUUACUGAGGUGGUACAUUUUAUGCUCCGUAUUUUGACAUCAAAAUAUGACAUGUAUAUGUGUUUAUCUCUAAGAUCAGGUAAUCAUUUCUCAAACUGUGGAAUUAAAAAAUGCCUAUAAAGUGUGUAGGUACAUGUAAAAAUAUUCUAAAUUAUAAGACUUGGAGGUGGUAAAGAUUGCCACUCCAUCAUUUCCCCUAUGUUGUUGGGGAUUUCCAUCUGAAGAAGACGCUUAACCUUGCUAGUUGAUGGGCACAAAUCUGUUAUUAAGUUAUAUGUUCAUUGAUUGUGUUUUUAAAGUUGUAGCAUGUUGUUCUUACCUUAAAGAUUGUAUGACUAUCUUGUUCUGUUUUGUUUCUUCUCUUGAUGAAAUUAGGUAAAUUACUCUAUGGUAGUAAUUAUAGGUGGUUUGCUCAUCAUGAAUUAUACAUAAGAAUGGAUUCUGCACUUGUUUAGUCAUCAAUCAUAAGAACAUUUCUUCUUAAACUGUAGAUAUUUUAUUAUCUGUUUAUUUUUAAGCUUUUGUUGCUAUUAUUUAUCAAUGAUUAAUAUAGUGGAAAUGAUUGAAGUAAGAAAGUUGUGCCGAGUAUAGUGAACUUAGCAACUCCCUUGGCAAUUGGAUUAAACUAAAUUAAUACUUCAGAUUUUUCUUUUCUUAAGUUGGAGUUUUAUGUUAUCAAUACCCAAUCUUUAUUUGCAUUAUUUCUGCUACUCUAGUGCUUAGUGGCAUGUUUUAUGACUGAUAUUGAUGCUUUUUUUAUAGGUUGAGUCUAAGCUCAAAGAGACAAUAACUCGGCUCGAACAACAAUUGACGGAGGAGCAAACUGCUCGGUUAAAGGGAGAAGAGGUUGCACAAUUAGCUCAAAGGAAGUCAAAUGACGAAAUUCAUAAGCUUGGAGAGAAUCUUGAAAGAGCUCAGAGAGAGACUGAGGACCAAAUGCAUAAAUCAUAUGAAGAUCAAAUUAAACGAAUUAUUGAGAUGGUAUUUUUUAUCCUCCUUGCUUUGACAUCAAAAUAUGACAUGCAUAUGUGUUCAUCUCUAAGAUCAGGUAAUCAUUUCUAAAACUGUGGAAUUAAAAACUGCCGAUAAAGUGUGCAGGUAUAUGUAAAAAUAUUCUAAAUUAUAAGACUUGGAGGUGGUAAAGACUGCCACUCUGUCUUUACCCCUAAAUUUUUGUAGAUUUCCAUCUGAAAAGACGCUUCAUCUCGUUAGUUGAUGGGGACAAAUUUGUUAUUAAGUUAUAUGUUCACUGAUUGUGUUUUGAAGCCUGCAACAUGUUGUUCUUACCUUGAAGAUUGUUGGACUCUUUUGUUUUGUUUUGUUUCUUCUUUUGAUGAAAUUAAGUAUAUUAUAGGUGGUUUGCUCAUCAUGACUUACACUUAGGAAUGGAUUCUACACUUGUGUAGUUAUCAAUCGCAAGAACAUUUCUUGUGAUAAUGUGGAUAUUGUAUUGUCUGUUUAUUUUUCUAAGCUUUUGUUUCUGUCAUUUAUCAUGAUUGAGAGAGUUGAAUUGAUUGAAGUAAGAAAGUUGUGCCGAGUAUGGUGAACUUAGCAACUCCCUUUGGAAUUGGAUUAAAUUAAAUUAAUACUUAAGAAUUUUCUUCUCUUAAGUUGGAGUUUUAUAUUUCCAAUACCCAAUCUUUAUUUGUAUUAUGCUGCUACUGUAAGGCUUAGUGACAUGUUUUAUGACUGGUUUUGAUGCUUUUUUACUAGGUUGAGUCUAAGCUCAAAGAGACAACAAUUAGGCUCGAACAACAAUUAGCAGAGGAGCAUGCUGCACGAUUAAAGGCAGAUGGGGCUGCACAAUUAGCUCAAAUGAAGUCAAAUGAAGAAAUUUGUAAGCUUAGGGAGAAUCUUGAAAGAGUUCAGUGGGAGGCUGAGGAGCUCCGUAAGCGAGCUGAAAAAGAAGGUUGUGCCAUUCUUUGACCUAAUCAUCUGCAGGCACUAUAUGCCAUUGGCAUGAAAAUCACCUAAAUAUAUUUUUUCUAUCUCCCCUACCUUUUCAGAUAAUAUUUGAAGUUAAUACUACAUUUAUUAUUAGUGUUUUAUACUGCAUUUAUUAUUAGUGUUUUACUACAGUCAAGAAGCUUGUAUUCUUUAUUAUGUAAAUGUUCCCAGUCCAAUCUGGAGUGCGGUCUUACGAUAAUAUUAUAUGGAAAAAUUGUAUUGACAUCAAAGGAAGUUUCUUUUAUGGAGCCAUUUAGAAUCUUUUCUUAUACGGUGAAUCCAAAGAGUUUUGAUUCCUUUUUCUCCUCACGCUAUCUUGUUUCCAUAUUUGUAAUAGAUACAACCCAAAAUAUGCGCUUUAAACAAUCAAUGACUUUCCCAAAAACUCGAACAUACACUUGAGUUUACUUGUACCUUCACUUUUUUGUUUUCACUCUUCUAAUGUCAUACCAGUUUGUAUUAAUAGUUUGUUUGUAUAUUAUUUACUCCUUUCGUAUAAUAGAGUAAUCCUAAUAUUUAAGAGACUUGCAAUAAAACCAUCAAGCCUAUGAUCCUUCUUUCACUCAUACCAAACUUCAACUAGCUCAUAGUCGAGGUUUAUCAAGUACAAUAUUUAUUUAUGCAUGUAUGCCACAAGCUUGAUCUUUAGCAUCUAGUUUACCUGCAAACGGAAGAAAACAUUGAUGCACGUGCAACACGAAUGUUGUGCAAAUUUUAUUGAACUCGCAAGUGCACGAAUCUAUUUUAGAAUAGAUUAAUGGUGACAAGUGUCGAUCCCACGAGGAGGUAGAUUUUAAUUAUAUGUAGAAUUAAUUUUGUAUGAGGGUGGUUGUUUGGAUUUGUGGUGAAAGUGACUUAGAAUAUCUUAAAAUUGGAAUUGAAAUGGCGAGAAUAAAUUGAAGAGAAAUCUAUUGAAAUGAAACACUUGAGUAUCUGGAUCCGUAUCAACAUGCACCAUGGGCUAAAUAUUCCUUAUUAGUGCCAAUUAAAUCAUGAAGGGGGAAUCCACACCUCAUGAACCACACUCUAAUCAAUAUGGUGCUAAGGGCUUAUCGUGCCAAAUAAUAAUAACCUUGUACUAGGGAGCUGGUGAAAUCAGGGCGGUAUCUGGACAAGAUUAUUAUUAUUUGUCGACGAGAAGUCAAAACAUCCACAAAAACUAGAGGGAAAGAGAAAAUAAAUUUACCAAUUAAAGCCCAUGAAACAUGUUGAGACUUCAUCUUCAACCCAAGCUUGAAAGAAAAUUAGUUACUCAUAAUUGAACUAGGGGCAAAAUAGAAAUUUAUUAAAAUACAUAGAAAAUACAAGAUGGAGAAGGAAUUACAGAAAAUGGAGUUAAAAAAUGGAUUCAGAGAUAUCAAAUUAGGGGGGGAAUGUCCCUUUUUUAUAAAUACAUUGAGUAAACAAUGACCAUCGGAUUAAAAAUAGUUUGGACGCUCAGGAUUGCGCCACAUCAUCAGUCAACUGUACGUGGUUUGACCACACAAUUUGAAUAGUAACACGGUUUGACCCAGCUUGAACAGUGACACGAUUUAGUUGAAAAUAAUCUUGUGUAAUGCAUGUACUGUACGCGAGAUUUUUGGUCCACUGAUUGCUGCCACGUCACCAUCAACACUACAUAGAAUUUUAGUCUAACAGGAUCAUGACACCUCAUCAAUCAAUGCCACAUCAUCGGUCAAUGCCACGUCAUCGAUCCGUCUAUGUGAAAAGUGUCGUGAACAGUAACGUAGACAGUACCGUACAUGUGAACAGUGUUAUUUUUCCUUUUAUGCUCCUCUAAAGGUUUUCAAUUGUCCUGAGUUCAAAAGUGAUGUCCGUUUUGCCGUUUGAUCUCUCGUUCAUUGUGAAAUGACCAUGAUGCCCCUAAAAUACAUAAAAUACUUAACUAAAAUAAAACACACAUAAUUAAAUUACAAGAAACUUAAAUACAUAAAAGUCAGGGUUGUUAGUAAGACUUGAAAUGUAAAAUGACGAUUUUCUCUUUUAUAAAUAUACAUUUUCUAACACUCAACACACCCCCAACCAGCUUAUUGCUAGUCCCUAGCAAAUAAAGCGAAAAAAAAAUCAAAUCCAAAAUAUUUUUUUUUAUAAAAAAAAUCUUGUUUAUUAAAUCAGACUAAUGAUAACAAUCAAAUAAAAGUAUAAGCAUUAUCUCUAGUCUAAAGAAACAUCACACCCACGUCAACCAUCCACAUGAAUCAGCCUAGUAGACUUUGUCACAUAUACUUUCAAGAAUGACAUGUUAAACCCCAAAAUCUCACUGGAAAUAGUGACACUCUCACAAAGAAAUUAAACCCAAUAAAAAUAGUCACUCCAAUAAAUGGUAAUUGAGAGAAAAUAAUAAAGAAGUGAUAUCACAUGCUCUCACCAAGAUGAAAGAAAUAUGCCCUCAGCUUAAAAAUAAUACGAUCUUAAGUCAAACAAAAAUGCUAGUCAACCCACUUUAUUUAUCUUUUUUAUUUUUUAUUUUUUUUAUUAUGCACCACUACAUCUUUUUAGCCCAUAUAACUAGCUUCUACUUCAGACUAUAGUUCUCUGAAAUCAAGGACUUUUAUUAGGACGUAACGUAGGCUAGGGACAUGGCUAACAAAGGAGGGGAAAUAAGGAAAACAAAGUGUAUGUUUGAGAAAAAUGCAGAGAUAUUUUAAUUAUUUUUUUUAGAAGUUGCAAGGUGGAUUUCACCUAUUAUUGUUAUUUUUUCUUAUUUUUUUCUCUCUUUUUUUUUUAAACAACAAUUUUUUUUUUGCAUAACUUCACUGAACAAAAUAAUUUUUUACAUUUUUUUCAAACAUAAAUAGGUGAUGGAACAUGUAAGAUAUUGGGUAAUACUCCAAAUCGGAGUGGGUCAAGAUGAUAAGUUUGACAAAGAAAAUAUUGUUUUUUGUUUAAAGGCUCAAAAGGGUUAACUAUGGAUAUUUCAUAAAAGGGAUGGCUAGAAAGGCUCAAACGGAUCAAAGAUGGUCUUUUCAUCGUCUUUUAGAGCUCUAAAUAAUCUUCUAUAUCUACUAGUUAGAUGGGCCUCUAAAUGUAGCAACACACAUUUUUUCUCUUUUUUUUAAUUUUACAAUUUUUUUAAGGGUUAACUCAAAAGAAAUCUAGAGAUCGUGUGUAAAAUAAUAAACUGCUAAGCUGUAUAAAGAAUGGGCAAAAGGGUUACUCUCUAAGAAAAAUAAUAGGCUCAAAAACUCACUUGAUACUUAUUAUAACAUAUUCAUUCCUUCAAGCAACUCACAUUUGUCACCGACAUCAACAUGUAGAGUAGCAAAAAUAGCGUAACAUCACUUAAGACUAAAGAUAAUAUAAAUACUAAAAUUUAAAAUUCAUCAUGUCAUCCAAUGUUAAAACAAAUAACACAAUUUAUUUUUUAUUUUUUUAAACAACAUUAUACCCCCCAACCUAUUCUAAACAUGAAAGGAAAAUAUGCAUGCAGAAAUGUGAAAAUGAUGCAGAAAAACUAAUUAGAAAAGUUACACUUAAAAUGAUAGAAAAACAAAAUGAUUUUUUUUAACUAAGAAGAUGCGUUUCUAGAGGCACUACACUCUAUAUUUAGCCAUCUUCGACUAAAAAAAAAUUGAAAAUGUAUAUUUAUAAAGGAGAAAUUAAAAGGAAGAAGAAAAAUGAACAUUAAAACUUAAUAAAGAAAAAGAAAAUGUCUGAAUUUGUUUUUUGUUUUUUGUUUUUAUUUUUUUUUCAAACGAUGAAGAUGCGUUUCUAGAGUCGCUACACUCCAUAUUCAGCCAUCUUCAACACAAAAAAGUUAGCAAUAGUUAGUUUCUAUAACAAAAAAUAAGUAAAAACUUAACCAAGAUUCCACAAUUGUCGACUAUUCCCUCCCCCCAACCAGAACGAAACAUUGUCCUCAAUGUUUUAAAUGAAAGAAGUAGAGUUUAGAAGACAUCACCUGGGUGGUGCAACACAGAAGAAAAUAUUUACAGGUAGAGAGUUAAAUCUAAUUUGCAUUUCUUACUGCGGCUACUGUUACCAUCAUUAUUUGGACGCUCCAACACAAAGGUCCAGGGGUCUGGCUCCGAUUUAUAAGCUUGUAAUAGAUCAAGUAGCUCAUUAGCAGUGUGAGCACAAAAAAAAAAGUUUUUUCGCAUUAGAAGGAAUGAAAUAAUUUUUUAUUUCAUGUUUAAGAAAUGCGAUAAAGCCAUCAUAAAAGUUAUUGACAUUUAACAAAUCGAUGGGUUUCUGGUAAAUGUAUAGAUGGGUGCAAGAUGCUAGUGUGAUAAGUGCCUCUAGUGUUGCAAGAUGUCCUGGAAGGAAAAUAAAAGCAUCAGCAUGAUUAAGCAUUUCAGUUAUUCUUUCUUGCAUACGUGAGACGACUAACUCUUCUCCAGUCGGUGAGUCAAACAAACUGCCCAAUGGUUUUAGGGCUCUUGGGAUGAUGCCUAACACUUGACUUCCUCUGACAAAAGCAGCUUCUAAGACCAAUUUUGAUAACCCUCGGUUACCUCCUCCAUACACCAAGUAUAAUUUUCUCUCUGCUAUGCUUCGACCAAGAUCUAUGGCUGCCUCAACGAACUUUUUAUGUUUGCCAUAGUUAAAUCCAGAAAGCACACAAAUGUUCUUGAAUUGUCUAUUGUGAGUAACUGCCAUUGGGAUACUUCUCAAAAACAAUUUGUGAGUGCUUGACAAAAAACAUAUUUAAGAAUUUUGGUGACAGUAGGUCACAUGACUCGCGAGUCAAAAAGAAAACAGUAAAAAGAAAAAAAAACAAUGAUAAAAUAAAAUUAUUGAAGACAAUAAUGCAAAUGAUAAAACGACAGUAAAAUAAAAUAACAGUGAAGCAAAAUGAUAUUUACAAGUAGUUGCGACUGUGGCUCACAUCUUCCUCUGAUUUUAUGUCCAGAAACGGCUUGAACGCCCUCUAUGGGUCGAGGAUAGGCUUCCCAUCCAGUUUUCUUAUAAACUGGCAAACAGGAUCGUUUAUAGUCAGAUUCCCGAGACUAUAUCGUGCAUGCUCUUUCUGGAAUAAUGGUCAUAAUUGGAGAAUUGCUCCUUGCACAUAUCUACUGGGAUGUGUUUUAAGAGACAAAAGGAUAUCAUCCAAUGACUCUUUAUUCAAGUCAUCUCUAAUGAAUUGAAUCUUAUCUUCCUUGUUAUCAGACACUAUUCCUAAAUAACAUGAUUUUUUAUCGCAACUCAUUCUGGUACACUUAUGACAAGCAACAGAAAUUCUUCUAGCUCGUCGUUUUCUUGCAUAAUUUCCUUUACCACAACCACGCAUGUAUGCAAUAAAUUUUGGAGGUAACUUAUCUGCCAAUCAUACUUUAGCCUCGAUUAACCAACGAUGCCAGCAGGUAUAUUAUUCCUCAUGAGCAAUCGCAUGCGUUCAGACCGAGCUUUAUAGAUUGUAAGGAGGGCAUUUUGAGGAAGUGAAGGGAAUCGCUUGUGAAGCUUCGCUAGAACCUCGUUUAUGUCCAUACAUUCGCCUCUGAAUAUCAGUUAUUAUGGGAGAACUGAAGUAACCGACUUGAUUGUCAUAGAGUACUAUUAUCUGCCACUUCACCGGGGUAACAAACUAAAGCACACAAACAAAGAAAAACAAACUAAAACACAUAAAGAAAAUUACAAUCGUCCUCUUAUUGAAUUUACCUCAAGCUCCAACUGGAUGCUGUAGACACUUCUCUCAAUGUCUCUGAGUUGGCUUUCUAAAUCCUCAAUAUGGGUUACUAACUCUGGUGGUUGCAGAGCCCAAAUACGAUGUGUUUUACAAAAUCGAAUCUGCUUUUUGAGAUGAGAUUUUACACGUUAAAGUGGUUUAAGAAUGUUCAGGUGGAACUGUUUAGAUAUGGCACUCAUGAUUAACAAUGAUAAGAGAAAACUUAAUGGUUAAACAAACACACUUAUGUAAAAAUAAUUUCAAUUAGCAAAAGAAUAAUAAAAAGAAAGAAAGAAAGAAAAUUCAAAUCACCGAAAAGAAAGAAAAAAAACUUAAUUCAAAUCUGGUGGGUCACUCAAAUUUAUUUCGAUGUCCUCUCCAUGUGGUUGGUACUCUAUAUAUGGCUUAAGUCUUUGACCAUUAACUUUAAACGUGACACCGUUCUUUGGGUCCUUAAUCUCAAUUGCCCUAUGUGGAAAAACAAUAUGAACAAUAAAUGGGCUAGACCAUCGAGAGCGUAACUUACCUGGGAAUAGGUGCAAGCGAGAAUUGAAUAAAAGCACUUUCUGACCUGGAGUGAAAGAUUUUCUCAUAAUUUGCUUGUCAUGAAAGACUUUCAUUCGCUGCUUGUAAAUUUUGGCAUUUUCGUAUGCAUCAUUGCGAAUUUCUUUAAGUUCUGCCAGUUGUAAUAUUCUUUUUGAGAUAGCCUGCUGCAUGCCAAAGUUGAAUUUCUUGAUGGCCCAAUAUGCACGAUGCUCAAGUUCCACAGGUAGGUGGCAAGCUUUUCCAUACACUAGCCUGUAGGGUGACAUCCCAAUCGGGGUCUUGAAAGCUGUUCUAUAUGCCCAUAAUGCAUCAUCAAGUCUUAAUGACCAAUCUUUUAUGUCUGGCCUCACCGUCUUUUCUAAUAUGUGCUUUAUUUCUCGAUUGGAGAUCUCAACUUGGCCACUAGUUUGCGGAUGAUAUGGGGUCGCCACUUUGUGAGUGAUUGAAUACUUUGUCAAAAGAGUCUUGAAUGCUUUGUUACAAAAGUGGGCACCACCAUCACUGAUUAUCGCUCGAGGGCAUCCAAAGCGUGAAACAAUGUUGCUUUUCAAAAAUCCUAUCACCACUUUGUGAUAAUUGGUUCUACAUGGAAUUGCUUCUACCCAUUUCGAUACAUAGUCAACAUCAACCAAUAUGUAUUGAUGGCCAAAAAAAGGGGGAAAGGGUCCCAUGAAGUCGAUACCCCAUACAUAAAAAAUCUCAACCACUAAAAUUAGAUUUAGUGACAUCAUGUUCCUUCGUGUAAUGCUCUCCAUUCGUUGACACAUAUCACAUGAAGAACAGAAAAUGUAAGUGUCUCGAAAUAUAGUUGGCCAAUACAAACCACAUUGUAAAACUUUAGUCGUUGUUUUCUUAACACUGAAAUGGCCUCCACAAGCUUGUUCAUGGCAGAAUGAAAUGAUAUUUUAAAUUUCACUUUCUGGGACACAUCGUCUAACAAUUUGAUCUGUACAAUACUUGAACAAAUAAGGGCCAUCCCAAAAGAAAUUCUUUAUUUCCGGAAAAAAUUUGGCUUUGUCUUGCUUGGUCCAAUGCUCUGGAAAUUGACCUGUAACAAGAUAAUUAACGAUAUCAGCAUACCAAGGUAAUACUUCCACACUCAUUAAUUGUUCAUCUGAGAAUGACUCAUUCAAUGUUAAUGGUUUUGUAAUUAUGUCAAAGUGGAGACGAGAGAGAUGGUCUACCACAACAUUUUCUGUGCCUUUCUUAUCUUUAAAUUUCAAGUUGAAUUCCUGCAAAAUUAACACCCAACGAAUUAGUCUAGCUUUUGCAUCUUUCUUUGUGAGAAGAUAUUUAAGAGCAGCAUGAUCUGUGAAUACAAUUAUUUUACAUCCAAUGAGAUAAGAUUGAAAUUUCUCUAAUGCAAACACUACUGCUAGCAUUUCUUUUUCAAUAGUUGAAUAGUUCAACUGUGCAUCAUUUAAUGUCAUACUAGUAUAGUAAAUAACAUGGGGAAUUCGAUCAGUUCUUUGUCCUAAUACUGCUCCUACUACAUAAUCAGAUGCAUCACACAUGAGAUCAAAUGGUAAGCUCCAGUUUAGGGGCUGAAUGAUGGGUGAUGAUGUCAACAACUGCUUUAAUUUUUCAAAUGCCACAAGACAUGAAUCAUUAAAGACAAAAGGUACAUCCUUAGAUAGUAGAUUGCAUAAGGGUCUAGAAAUUUUGCUAAAAUCUUUAAUGAAACGUCUAUAAAAACCAUCAUGCCCAAGGAAUGAUUUUACUUCUCUGACUGUUUUGGGUAGAGGAAGAUUAGAAAUGAGAUCCACAUUGGCUUGGUCAACCUCAAUACCUUUGCUUGAAAUGAUGUGACCGAGAACAAUACCUUACUUUACCAUAAAAUGACACUUAUCCCAAUUUAAGACUAAGUUCUUCUCGAUACAUCUCUGCAGAACUAGUGUUAGAUGAUGUACACAUUGAUCAAAUGAAUCACCAAAGAUAGAAAAGUCAUCAAUAAAGACUUCAAGGAAUCAUUCAACCAUAUCAGAAAAAGUGCUUAACAUGCAUCGUUGAAAUGUAGCAGGUGUGUUACAUAAUCUAAAUGGCAUCCUCCUAAAUGCAAAAGUGCCAAAAGGACAAGUGAAAGUAGUUUUCUCUUGAUCUUUUGGUGCAUGGGAAUCUGAUUAUAUCCUUAGUAGCCAUCUAGAAAGCAAUAAAAUUCAUGGCCUGCUAAUCUAUCAAGCAUUUGAUCGAUAAAUGGUAAAGGAAAAUGGUCUUUACGUGUGACAGAAUUCAACUUUCUAUAAUCAAUGCAUACAUGCCAUCCUGUAGUCACUGUUGAAUGUUAGAAAAUGCAUAUUUAUAAAGGAGAAAACCGUCAUUUUACAUUUUAAGUCUUACUAACAACCCUUACUUUUAUGUAUUUAACCUUCUUGUGAUUUAAUUACAUGUGUUUUAUUUUAAUUAAGUAUUUUAUGUAUUUUAGGGGCAUUAUAGUCAUUUCACAAUAAAGGAGAAAUCAGACGGCAAAACGGACAUCACUUUUGAACUCAGGACGGUCAAAAACCUUAGGAGGAGCAUAAAAGGAAAAAUGGCACUAUUCACAUGUACGGUACUAUUCACGUGUACGGUACUGUCUACGUUACUGUUCACGACACUGUUCACAUAGACGGAUGAUGACGUGGCAUUGACCGAUGAUGUGUCAUUGACUGAUGAGGUGUCACGAUCCUGUUGGACUAAAAUUCUUAUGUACUGUUGAUGGUGACGUGGCAGCAUAUCAGUGGACGAAAAAUCUCGUGUACGGUGCAUGCAUCACACAGGAUUAUUUUCAACCAAACCGUGUUACUGUUCAUCCGGGUCAAACCGCGUUACUGUUCAAAGUCGGGUCAAACCGUGUUACUGUUCAUCCGCGUGGUCAAACCGUGGACUGUUGACUAAUGACGUGGCGCAAUCCUGAGCGUCCAAACUGUUUUUAAUCCGAUGGCCAUGAUUUACUCCAUGUAUCUAUAAAAAAGGGGCCUCUCCCCCCUAAUUUGA